rnacentral:snRNA from 1 species
AUACUCGCUUCGGCCGUACAUAUGCUAAAAUUGGAACGAUACAGAGAAGAUUAGCAUGGCCCCUGCGCAAGGAUGACACGCAAAAUCGUGAAGCGUUCCACUUUUUU